UACGAGGGGGCAAAUGUUGUUCGGAAUCACUGGGCGUAAAGGGAGCGUGAGGCGGGUUCGUUAAGUAAGGUGGUUUAAUCCCGGGGCCCAACCCCGGACCGGCACUUUAAACUGGGAAUCUUGAAUAGUGGAGAGGUCGGUGGAAUUGGGGGUGUAGCGGUGGAAUGCGUAGAGAUCCCCAAGAACACCAGUUGCGAAGGCGGACCGACUGGACACAUAGUUGACGCUGAGGCUCGAAAGCAAUGGGGGAGCAAACAGG
rnacentral:rRNA from 1 species